AAAGUCGUAACAAGGUUUCCGUAGGUGAACCUGCGGAAGGAUCAUUACACUUAGUAGAUCUCUACUACUCAGGGGAGAGGGGAAAGUUUUUAGCUUAGCGGCUGGGAACGAGUACGCUCUCUAUCUGAACCCUUGUCUUUUUGCGUACUCAUGUUUCCUCGGUAGGCCUGCCUGCCGGCUGGACAACUUAAUAACCUUUUUAAUUUUCAAUCAGCGUCUGAAUAAUUAUAAUAAUUACAACUUUCAACAACGGAUCUCUUGGUUCUG
rnacentral:misc_RNA from 1 species